UACGUAGGGUGCGAGCGUUGUCCGGAAUUAUUGGGCGUAAAGGGCUCGUAGGCGGUUUGGUGCGUCGGGAGUGAAAACUCAGGGCUUAACCCUGAGCCUGCUUCCGAUACGGGCAGACUAGAGGUAUGCAGGGGAGAACGGAAUUCCUGGUGUAGCGGUGAAAUGCGCAGAUAUCAGGAGGAACACCGGUGGCGAAGGCGGUUCUCUGGGCAUUACCUGACGCUGAGGAGCGAAAGUGUGGGGAGCGAACAGG
rnacentral:rRNA from 1 species